UGUAGGUCUUCUUUGGAGAAAUGUCUAUUCAUGUCUUCUGCCCAUUUUAUUAUUAUCAUUAUUAUUAUUUUGGUGUUGAGUUGUGUUAAGUUUUUUAUGGCUUCAGACAAAAGUUUUUAUUAAUAAGUCUUGGCUGCCCUACUUAAUAAGAUCUGAAUUAUCAUAAACAAAUGUACAUUUCUCAUAGUUUAGAAAUAAAUUUUUUUUUACCACAAAGUCCUUUUAAAGACCUAUGUUCUUUCCAGAGCUCAUGAUAAUCAAGGACAUAGAAUAUAUUUCACUGAAGACUAUGAGUGCCACCAUGGAAAGAGUAUAUACCUUAUAUAUACCUUAAGUAUAUAUAAAUAUACCUUGAAGAUAUUACAGGUUCAUACCACUGCAAUAAAGAAAAUAGUGCAAUAAAGGGAAUCAUAUUAAUUUUUUGGUUCCCCAAUACAUAUAUAGUUUAAACUAUACUGUAGUAUAUUAAGUGUAUAGUAGCAUUAUGUCUAAAAAAAAUAUACAUGUCUUAAUUAAAAACAUUGCUAAGAAAUGCUAGUCAUCAUUUGAGAGUUCAGUGAGUCAUAAUCUUUUUUGUUGGUGGAGAAUCGUGUUUUGAUGUUGAUGGCUGCUGAUUGAUCAGGACGGUUGUUGCUAAAGGCUGGGAUCACUGUGGCAAUUUCUUAAAAUAAGACAAAUGAAGUUUGCUGCAUUGAUUGACUCUUCCUUUCAUGAAUGAUUUCUCUGUAGCACACAAUGCUUUUUGAUAGCAUUAUACCCAUGGUAGAACCACUUUCAAAAUUGGAGCCAAUCCUCUCAAACCUUACUGCUGCUUUAUCAACCAACUUGAUGCAGUACUCUAAAUCCUUUGUUGUCAUUCCAACAGUCUUGAUAGCAUCUUCAUCAGGAGUACAUUCCAUCUCAAGAAACCAUUUUCUUUGCUCAUAUGUAAGAAGCAACUCCUCAUGUGUUCAAAUUUUCUUAUGAGAUUGCAGCAAUUCAGUCACAUCUUCAGGCAUCACUUCUAAUUCUAGUUCUCCUGCUGUUUCCACCAUAUCAACAGCGACCCUCUACUGAAGUCCUGACCCCCUCACAGUCAUCACGAGAGCUAGAACCAACUUCUUCUAAACUUCUGUGAAUGUUGAUGUUUUGACCUCUUCCCAUGAAUUAUGAAUGUUCUUAAUGGCAUCUAGAAUGGUGAAAUCUUUUCAGAUGGUUUUCAAUGUACUUUGCCCAGAUUCAUCAGAGGAAUCACUGUCUAUUGCAACUAGACCAUUAUGAAAUUUAUUUCUUAAAAUAAUAAGACUUGAAAGCUGAACCUACUCCUUGAUCUGUAGGCUUUAGAAUGGAUGUUGUGUUAACAGACGUGAAAACUAUAUGAAUUUUGUUGUACAUCUCCAUCAGAGCUCAUGGGUAAGCAAGUGCAUUGUGAGCAGUAUUUUGAAAGUAAUCUUUUUUUCUUCCUGAGCAGUAGCUCUCAGCAAAAGGCUGAAAAUAUUCAGUAAACCACGUGGUAAACAGAUGGUGCGAUCAUCCAGGCUUUGUUGUUCCAUUUAUAGAACACCGGCAGAAUAGAUUUAUUCUUAAGGGCCCUAGGAUUUCAGGAUGGUAAAUGAGCAUUGACUUCAAUUUAGAGUCAUCAGCUGCAGUAGCCUCUAAUGAGAGAAUCAGUCUGUCUUUGGAAGCUUUGAAGCCAGGCACUGACUUGUCCUUUCUAGCUAUGAAAGUCCUAAAUAACAUCUUCUUUCAAUUUAAAGCUGUUUAAUCCACAUUGGAAACCUGUGGUUUAGUGUAGCCACCUUCAUCAAUUAUCUCAGCUAGAUCUUCUGGAUAACUUGCUGCCACUCCUACAUCAGCACUUGCUGCUUCACUUUGCACUUUUGUGUUAUGGGGAUGGCUUCAUUCCUUAAAUCUCAGGAACCAACCUCCGCUAGCUUUAAACUUUUCUUCUGCAGCUCCCCCACCUCUCUCAGUCUUCAUGAAACUGCAUAGAGACUUUCUCUUGGUUAGACUUUGAAGAGAAUGUUUUUGCUGGUUUGAUCUUCUAAACAGACCGUUAAAACUUUUUCCAUUAUCAGCAAUAUGGCUGUUUUGAUUUCUUAUCACUGGUGUAGUCAUUAAAGGUGCAUUUUUAAUUUCCUUCAAGAACUUCCCCUUUGCAUUCACAAGUUGGCUCACUGUUUCUGUGCAAGAGGCCUAGCUGUCAGCCUGUCUCCUCUUUCCACCUCCCUUCCUCACUUCUUUCCACAUUCCUUCCUUCAUCAUUUCAAGCUUUUGAUUUAAAUUGAGAGAAUAGCGACUGUUCCUUUCACUUGAACACUUAGAUGCUAUUGCAGGGCUAUCAUUGGCCUAAUUUUAAUACUGUUGUGUUUCGGGGGAACAGGGAGACCUGAGGAGGAGGUGACAGAGAGACAGGGAACAGCUGGUUGGUGGAGCAGUCAUCACACACACAACAUUUAUUAAGUUUACCAUCUUAUAUGGGCACAGUUCGUGGCUCCACAAAACAAUUACAGUAGUAACAACAAAGAACACUGAUCACAGAUGACCAUAAGAAGUAUAAUAAUAGUGAAAAAGUUUGAAACAUUGCGAGAAUUACUAAAAUGUGAUGGAGACAUGAAGUGAGCCAAUGCUGUUGAAAAAAUGGCGCCUAUAGACUUGCUCCAUGCGGUGUUGUCACAAACUUUCAGUUUGUAAAAAACACAGUAUGGCACAAAAAACCACAAACUGCAAUAAAGGAAGUACAAUAAAGCAGGUACGCCUGCAGUUUUGAAGUGAAAAAAAGCAAGAUGCCCUCACAGAAUGUAUUUGGCUGUCUUCAAAAGGAGAAGUCAGGUUUAAAUAACAGGAGUUCAUACCCUUGUUAGACCUUUUUAAUUCUGAACGAAGUGCACAUGUGACCUUUUCUGAAAUAAAUAAAAAUAAUGCAUUGUCAAACAAACUGAAACAAAAC